CAUCGCCUACCGAUAUUAUGGUAGGUACAGCCUGCCCAGUGAAAAUUCAACGGCCGCAGUAUUCUGACUGUGCAAAGGUAGCAUAAUCAUUUGUCUCCUAAUUAGAGGCUUGUAUGAACGGCUACACGUGGUGGGAGCUGUGUCAGGAAAUCACCUAAAUUUAAUUUUUAAGUUAAAAAGCUUAAAUAUAACCGCAGGACGAGAAGACCCCGUAGAUCUUAACAUAGUUUAUUUAUCCUAAUAUAGAAGUUUACCAGGCUAAAUAUUUUAAUGUUUAGUUGGGGUGACGCGAAGUCAUAAACACUUCUUUUUAAACGACCCUUUAAGGAUAAAUGACCCGGGAAACCGAUUUAAAGAAAAAGUUACCUCGGGGAUAACAGCGUAAUUUACUUUUAGAGUCCUAAUCAACCGGUAAGUUUGCGACCUCGAUGUUGGAUUAAGAGCCUUUUUACGAGCAGCCACGUAAAUAAGGGGUCUGUUCGACCUUUAAACUCUUACAUGAUCU
rnacentral:rRNA from 1 species